GUCCAAGGGCAGGAGAUGGGUGUCUCCCUCCAGAAAAGAGAAUUUGCUUGUCUUCUCCCUUUGUGUUCCAUCUGGGUCCCCAACCAAGUGGAUGUGCCUGCCCACGCUGAGGGCAGAUCUUCACUGAGUCCACUGAAAACAUCCUCACACACUCAGAAACAAUGCUUCGCCAGCUGCCAAGUACAGUGUGUGUGCCUUAGUCCCAGCUACUCAGGAGGCUAAGGUGGGAGAAACGCUUGAGCCUGGGAGCUGGAGGCUGCAGUAAGCCAUGAUUGUGCCAUUGCACUCCAGGCUGGCUGACAGAGAGAUCCUGCCUCAAAAAAAGAGAUAGAUAGAUAGAUAGAUAGAUAGAGCUCCACCAGCCAUCUAGGCUUUUUUUUUUUAAACAGGGUGUCACUCUGUCAACCAGGUUGGAGUGCCGUGGUGCUAUCAUAGCUCACUGCAGCCUUGACUUCCCAGGCUCAACCCAUCCUCCCACCUCAGCCUCCUGAGUAGCUGGGACUACAGCGUACAGGCACAGACCACGAUACCUGACUUAUUUUUAAAUUUUUUGUAGAGAAGUUUCACCAUGUUGCCCAAGCUGGUCUCAAACUCCUGGGCUUAAGCAAACCUCCCACCUCAGCCUCCCAAAGUGAUGGGAUUACAGGCAGGAGACAUGGCAGCCAGCUAAGGCUCCCUGUACCCUGUUAGUCGGCUUUACAGCACCUGGAAUUGACCGCCACACGGAGCCUGGCGCUAAGGCCUGGCUGUGCCCAAUGGUUCUGCACGAAGACCCGGGCCGGCCUGUGGGGAGCUCAGCUGCAUAUGCGUCUGUGGCGCCCCCUGUGCCCUGCUCUUUGGGGACUGAGCAUAGCUGCCCCUCCCUCUCUCCCUUCUGCCCGCUCCUGGACAUUUCCGGAAGGCCCCAGGAAAUGGUGGCUGAUAGUGGUUCCUGAGGCCACACCACGGGCUGCCUGGUGCCCUUUCCCUCCCCAGUGCCCGGCUGGAGCAAGAAGCCGAGCUCCUGAUGGGAGCUGGCCCUUUCUUUAGACUUUGCUUCACCUUCAGGACAGGGGGUUCUGAAUUUCUGCGCUAGGGCCCCGCCGGCUUGGGUGGGCUUCCAGCGUGAAUCCUCGGCCUGUCGUCCCCGUCAUCAGGAAGCCCAACAGGGCGCCCGCCUGCCCUCUGUGUCCUCCCCGGGCUCGCGGCCGUGCACCUUCUGGUGCUGGAUGAGGGUGGACAGCCGGCUGCAGGCCCUCCCGCAGGCGCGGCACCGGUAUGGCCUCUCGCCGCUGUGGAGCCGGUAGUGCUCGUUCAGCGUGUAGCUCCUGCGGAACGCCUUGCCGCACUCGGUGCACGCGAAGGGCUUCUCCUUGGUGUGGAUCUUCUGGUGCAGAGUGAGGUUGGACUUGCGACCGAAGGCCUUGCCGCACUCCGCGCACUCGAACGGCUUCUCGCCCGUGUGUAGGCGCAGGUGCAGCAGCAGCAGGGAGUUGUGUCGGAACGGCCUCCCGCACACCGGGCACUCGUGGGGCGGGUCCCCCGCCUGGGGCCUCUGCGCAGCUCCGAGCAGGGCGCCCUGCCCCACGCCGCCGUCCUGGGCACCCUCCUGCGCGUGCAGCCGGUGGUGCUUCAGGAGCGAGGACCCUCGGAUGAAGCGCUGCCCACACCGCAGGCACCGGUAGGGCCGCUCCCCGCUGUGGAUGCGGCCGUGCUCGUUGAGGGUGAACCUGCGGCAGAACGCCUUGCCGCACUCUGUGCACGCGAAGGGCUUCUCCCCGGUGUGGAACUUCUGGUGCUGCAGCAGCCGGGAGCUGCGGCUGAAGGCCUUGCCGCACUCGCCGCAUGCGUAGGGCCGCUCGCGGGUGUGGACGCGGUGGUGGGCAGCCAGCUGCGUGCUCUGCCGGAAGGCCUUCCCGCACUCGCCGCGAGGCCGAGGCGGCGGAUCACAAGGUCAGGAGAUCGAGACCAUCCUCGCUAACAUGGUGAAACCUCGUCUCUAUUAAAAAUACAAAAAAAAAAAUUGGCUGGGCGUGGUGGUGGGCGUCUGUAGUCCCAGCUACUCGGGAGGCUGAGGCAGAAGAAUGGCGUGAACCCGGGAGGUGGAGCUUGCAGUGAGCCGAGAACGCGCCAGCCUGGGCCAAAGUGCGAGACUCCGUCUCAAAAAAAAAAAUAAUGGCCAGGCGCGGUGGCUCACGCCUGUAAUCCCAGCACUCUGGGAGGCCGAGGCGGUGGAUCACAAGGUCAGGAGAUCGAGACCAUCCUGGCUCACACGGUGAAACCUCGUCUCUACUAAAAAUACAAAAAAUUAGCCGGGCAUGGUGGCGGGCGCCUGUAGUCCCAGCUACUUGGGAGGCUGAGGCAGGAGAAUGGCGUGAACCCGGGAGGCGGAGCUUGCAGUGAGCUGAGAUCGCGCCACUGCUCUCCAGCCUGGGCGACAGAGCGAGACUCCAUCUCAAAAAUAAUAAUAAUAAUAAUCUCUGUUCUACAAUUAUAACCUAGGAAAAACCAGGCCAUACAGAGAUAGGAGCUGAAGGGACACAGUGAGAAGUGACCAGAAGACAAGAGUGUGAGCCUCUGUCACGCCCGGACAGGGCCACUAGAGGGCUCCUUGGUCUAGCGGUAACGCCAGUGCCUGGGAAGACGCCCGUUACUUAGUUGACCUUGGUCUAGCAGUAACCCCAGUGCCUGGGAAGGCACUAGUUACAUAGCAGACCUGGAAAGGGAGUCUUCCUUUCCCCAGGGUAGUUAGAGAAGACUCUGCUCCACCACCUCUUGUGGAAGGCCUGACAUCAGUCAAACUCGCCCACAGCCAUGCUGAGGCCUGACCGUCUCCCUGUGAUGCUGUGUUUCAGUGGUCAUGCUCCUGUUUCACUUUCAUGUUCCACCCUGUACACCUGGCUCUGCCUUCUAGACAGCAGUAACAGAAUUAGUGAAAGUACUAAAAGUCAUUAAAAUGCAUAGAAGAAAUAAUGGCGUAAGCUGUCCUGUCUCUCUCUCCGCCUCGGCUGUCAAACAGGGAAGGACCCCCUGUCCGGUGAACAUGUGACUCACAUGACCUUAUCAAUCAUUGGAAAUGACUCACACUCUUUACCCUGCCCCUUUCGCCUUGUAUCCAAUAAAUAACAGCGCAGCCAGGCAUUCAGGACCA
rnacentral:lncRNA from 1 species